rnacentral:rRNA from 1 species
AGUGAACGCUGGCGGUAGGCCUAACACAUGCAAGUCGAACGGCAGCACAGUAAGAGCUUGCUCUUACGGGUGGCGAGUGGCGGACGGGUGAGGAAUACAUCGGAAUCUACUUUUUCGUGGGGGAUAACGUAGGGAAACUUACGCUAAUACCGCAUACGACCUACGGGUGAAAGCAGGGGAUCUUCGGACCUUGCGCGAUUGAAUGAGCCGAUGUCGGAUUAGCUAGUUGGCGGGGUAAAGGCACACCAAGGCGACGAUCCGUAGCUGGUCUGAGAGGAUGAUCAGCCACACUGGAACUGAGACACGGUCCACACUCCUACGCUAAGCAGCAGUGGGGAAUAUUGGACAAUGGGCGCAAGCCUGAUCCAGCCAUAUCGCGUGGGUCAAGAACCCCUUCGGGUUGUUAAGCCCUUUUGUUGGGAAAGAAAAACAGCAGUUUAAUACCCCGCUGUUCUGACGGUACCCAAAGAAUAAGCACCGGCUAACUUCGUG